rnacentral:lncRNA from 1 species
CGGGGACCUCGGACUCAUGGAGGAACCACUUGACUCAGGCCAAGAAAGAAGCAGAGUCUGCUUCCCAGCCACAUGGCUGCCACAGACGGAGGGGUCUGUCCCUCCCUCCCCAUGGGAGCUGCCUCUAGGGACACUGACUGGCACCAAGCAAGCACCAGCAGACAUCCCCCCCCAACUGUGCACCCCCCGACCAGCCAGCAUCCUCCCAACUGUCCACCACCCACAGCAGGAAACCUCUUCACCAACUGUCCACCGCCCACACCAGCAGACAUCCCUCCAACUGUGCACCCCCUGACCAGCAGACAUCCCUCCCAACUGUGUACCCCCUAACCAGCAGACAUCCCUCCCAACUGUGCACCCCCUGACCAGCAGACAUCCCCCCAACUGUGCACCCCUGCAG